rnacentral:rRNA from 1 species
GACGAACGCUGGCGGCGUGCUUAACACAUGCAAGUCGAACGGAAAGGCCCUGCUUUUGUGGGGUGCUCGAGUGGCGAACGGGUGAGUAACACGUGAGUAACCUGCCCUUGACUUUGGGAUAACUUCAGGAAACUGGGGCUAAUACCGGAUAGGAGCUCCUGCUGCAUGGUGGGGGUUGGAAAGUUUCGGCGGUUGGGGAUGGACUCGCGGCUUAUCAGCUUGUUGGUGGGGUAGUGGCUUACCAAGGCUUUGACGGGUAGCCGGCCUGUGAGGGUGACCGGCCACAUUGGGACUGAGAUACGGCCCAGACUCCUACGGGAGGCAGCAGUGGGGAAUAUUGCACAAUGGGCGGAAGCCUGAUGCAGCAACGCCGCAUGCGGGAUGACGGCCUUCGGGUUGUAAACCGCUUUCGCCUGUGACGAAGCGUGAGUGACGGUAAUGGGUAAAGAAGCACCGGCUAACUACGUG